CUGGAAAGUUGCUGGGUUUUGGACAUACAGAGCAUGUGGGAGCUAGAGAGGUAGAGGCUGAUCUUGCCAUGGAGAGACUUUGUAGGACUAGACAAGCCUGAAAGGACUUCUACAGUAUUUGAGAAAAAUCUAAUAGGUCUCUCACUGUCCUGGAACUCACCAUGAAGGUUAGGAUGACUGAACGGUGAAUUGCAUGGAUCUGUCUACCUGCUUCUGCCUGCACUAGUCAUGGUAUUACUGGCACAGGCUUCUCUACCAAGCUUUUUCAUGUUGCUUCAGACAAAGUCCAACUAGAGGAGGCAGCCACAGAGUGCUGAGCUGGAGCCCAGGCAACAUGGUCUUCUCUGAGAUUGGAAGAAUUCUGCACAUUUUUGGGAUGUUUGAAAUUAGCAAGCAUUGCCACUAUGGGAUUCCAGAUUGCUGUCAUCGCUCCCAAUUGAAAGCCCAUGACUGCUAGAGCCCUCCCCUCUCAUCCCCUGGGAACUACUAACAUCUGGGCCCUAUGGCUUUGCCUACUGUAGAAUUUCAUGUAAGUGGGGUUAUGCAAACUUUCACAACUGGCUUCUUUCACAUAGCAUGUUAUCUUUAGGAUGUAUUUGUGUUAUAAAUAUAGUCUUUCACUCUUUCUGGGC
rnacentral:lncRNA from 1 species